rnacentral:tRNA from 1 species
AUUUAAAUAGCUUAUAAAGAGUAUAAUAUUGAAGAUAUUAGGGAGAUUAUAUUAAUCUUUAGAUA